rnacentral:rRNA from 1 species
CAGUCGCCGCGGGAAUACGUAGGGUGCGAGCGUUAAUCGGAAUUACUGGGCGUAAAGCGUGCGCAGGCGGUUAUAUAAGACAGAUGUGAAAUCCCCGGGCUCAACCUGGGACCUGCAUUUGUGACUGUAUAGCUAGAGUACGGUAGAGGGGGAUGGAAUUCCGCGUGUAGCAGUGAGAUGCGUAGAUAUGCGGAGGAACACCGAUGGCGAAGGCAAUCCCCUGGACCUGUACUGACGCUCAUGCACGAAAGCGUGGGGAGCAAACAGGAUUAGAUACCCCUGUAGUCCCUGUCUCUUAUAC